AUACGGAGGAUCCGAGCGUUAUCCGGAUUUAUUGGGUUUAAAGGGAGCGUAGGUGGACAGUUAAGUCAGUUGUGAAAGUUUGCGGCUCAACCGUAAAAUUGCAGUUGAUACUGGUUGUCUUGAGUACAGUAGAGGUGGGCGGAAUUCGUGGUGUAGCGGUGAAAUGCUUAGAUAUCACGAAGAACUCCGAUUGCGAAGGCAGCUCACUGGACUGCAACUGACACUGAUGCUCGAAAGUGUGGGUAUCAAACAGGAUUAGAUACCCUGGUAGUCCACACAGUAAACGAUGAAUACUCGCUGUUUGCGAUAUACAGUAAGCGGCCAAGCGAAAGCAUUAAGUAUUCCACCUGGGGAGUACGCCGGCAACGGUGAAACUCAAAGGAAUUGACGGGG
rnacentral:rRNA from 1 species